rnacentral:snRNA from 1 species
GUGCUUGCUUCCGCAGCACAUAUACUAAAAUUGGAAUGAUAUAGAGAAGAUUAGCAUGACCCCUGCACAAGGAAUCCCACUGAUGGCAGAGAAUUAACUAUAGAGAGACCUCUUU